AUUGACAGGGAGUUCGGCGGUAAACAGUGGGUCGGCGCGUAAAGCGCGGCGAUUAAUCAGAGUACCUACUGUAAGGAGUGUGUACAAUCCGACAUAAAACGGCUCAGUUAUCUCCGGGAACCUGCCUCUGUUUCCCUUCCUGGCAAAGCUUAUUCCGAGAAGCAGGUGUGAAGGCUGCUGUUGGAUGACAUGGAUCUGUGUGAUACGGAGGAGCGCGAUAGUGACGAUGAAGUGUUCGACCUGGACUUAACGGCCCCGGACAGCGGCUACAGUGACACCAGCGGGACCUACGCAUCCGGUGCCUCUCCGAGCUGGACUGCCAGGCGCCAGCGGUUGUUUCCUCCAACGCAGCACUCGAAUGGAGCCGGGGGCAUCCCGGAGGAACAGUGUGACAGGGGGACGCAAACCUCUAGCUCCAGCCCCCCAGAUGAAAGCGAACCGCAAAGACUAUUCUAUGGCAGUGCAGCGUAUCGCCUGAAUUUUACUGAGGUUUUUGAAGUGCCGCGGGCCAGCACAGCACCCCAUCAUGAUCGGGAGAAUGUGCUACAGAUGGAUGCACAGCCUGAGGAGAGAGUGGAGAUUCGGAUUGGACGGAAACUGCAGCAGAUUGGGGAUCAGUUCCAUAGCUCCUACAUGGAGAGGCGGAACAGAAAUGAAAACCGUGUGGACCAGCCCUUGUGGUGGCGACUUCUCUUCGUCCUCUUCACUUUGAUCUUUGACCUGGAAGAGAAUGCGGAGGCGGCAGGGCAAAGGUGAGGCCCACCCUGCAUGUCAGCCCUCCACUCUGCAGCCAGACAUCAGAGGGUACUGUGGAUGGCACUGAACAAGGGGACAAAAGCACGCGUGUGAAGGUACAUUCUGCUGGUCGGAUGGUGUCACAUUUUUGUUUUAUCCAAAGUGGAAAUGGCGCAUUGUUUUCCAGUGACGUCCACUGGAAGCUUGCUGUUGACUAUCACGUGCUCACCACUGCUACUAAUGGAUCCUCUUCCCAAUGCUGGUGAGCUCUGACAAAUCACUUAACUCCACAGAGAAUGGGUUCUACUUCUUUUGUACGCAGUCAUGAACGUCAUACAGGCGCAGCAGCAAGAAGAACAAAGGAAAGAAGACUGAAACAGAAAUUGCUGGAGAAACUCAGCUGGUCUGGCAGCAUCUGUGGAGAGAGAGCAGAAUCAACGCUUCGAGUCUGGCGACUCUUCAUCAGAACUCUUCCCAAUCAUUGACGCCGUCUCAAAGAGUCUUUUGUAGUUGAGUGCAGCACUGGAUUCUCAACACUGGUUAUCCCUUUACAUGUUUACCAUGUAUUUUAACCCCUCCGUUUCCCCCCAAUAACCAAGUGACCUCUCUGAGAACUAGAUUGCUUCUCCCUUGUAGGGCUAAGUUGGAUGUGUCUUGACGUUUCUGUGUCCGCCCAUGUGCAGAGACCACUCUCGAGUUCCUACAGUCCUGCUGAAAGCUCUGUUUGCCAAUGGUUUGUUUACGGGUCGGGCAUGCUGACCACUUCUGGGAUUCAGAGACUUGUCAGCAGGGUAAUCGGCACUCCAUCCUUGGAGGAUGGUUCUCCCUGGCAUGCCCCACCUCAGCCCAAACUAAGGCUUGGGGCUCCAUUUCUCACUGGUCUCCUUCCCCCUUUUGGAAGGCAGUUAUAAUUUCGGAUAAAAAUGAAGGAUAUUGCAGGGUUGUGUAGGCGAGUCACUUCUUAUGUGGUGGGGUGGGGGGAGGGGGCAGAGGUGGGAAGAGAAAAAAAAACAAAAAAAAGAGCACAGAGGCGUCUCCAUAGAAACGGUUGAGUCUGAAACUGUGAACCCAUCCCCAGCCAUUCAAUCUCCUCUGACCUGGAUGAAUUCAAUCGAAAUCAUACAGCACAGAAUGAGACCAUUCAGCACAUAGAGCUCAUGUCUACCCCUGUCUUCCAAAGGGCUCCCCCAUGCUCUUUCCUGAAGCCUUCCAGGUUUUUUUUCUCCUUUUCCAGUUCCCCUUGAAUAGCUACUGUUGAAUCUGCUUCCAACUCCUUUGCAGGCUGCGCAUUUCAUGUUGCAACGUCACACUUUGUCAAAGACUUUCUCCCUAUUUCUCUCUCUCUAUUUUACCAAUUAUCUGAUUCCUCUGCUUAUCGACGCUCUCCCUUUUCACUAAGUCAGAAGCCCACAUUAGAUGGGAAAUCUCCGUUAGACCUCAUCCUCGUCACUGCUCCACCAACCUCCUGGGCUUUUCUGAGGGAAGGGUCUGAUUCAAGCUGAACCACUCUGCAUCCAAAUCCUUCAGCAGGAGCUGUUCUUUAUCUGUGCCUGCCUUUCUCCCUGCUAAAGGUCUUGGACUGUUCACUUAGACACACACACACACCCUCAAACACCCAACUGUACAAAGAGUAUUAUCUCAAAGAGCUGUUGCUCCUUCAGAGCCACUAAGACAUGGCCAACUUCUCCCACCCGCCCUCCUCCAGAGGUUUUGAGGGCUGUCUUUUCUACGAUACCUGUGGUGAUCUGAGAUUCCUGGAGCUUAAGCCAGGCUUUCUCCAUUACAGAUUGAUCAGAGGUUGGGUUAUGACUGCCAAGUAGUGCUCACUGUGCCAUUGGGUGUAGGGAAGAGAUUACAAGUGUCACAAGGUCUAAAGUGCCCCAUCCCCACAAACAAAUAAUCUAGUGGAAUGAUCAGAAUUUCCAGUAUGGCCUGCACUCCCUGGUCCUUGUUGGUUUGAGCAGAUGCAUCAUGGGAAGUUCCUAUCCCUCAUUGUGAUCACUUCUGCAAAAAGGCCAAGUUGAUAAUCUGGAAGCUAUUCCUAAUAGAUAUCCCAGAUUUUAAAGAGGAGGUUUCUGUCCUGAAGGACUCCUAGCAGACCCAGCUGCCCAUCACCGAAUUGGGAUUGGCACUGGGACACAAUGUGGUCGCAGGUGACGAAUGCGAGUUGGCUGCCUACCACAGAAUGCUGUUUCUGACCCUUUUCCUUGUUUCGGAGCAAAUUUUCCUACCCCCGGCGCAAAGUUUCUGAGAGCACUUCUGAAAUCCCAACUCGUGCCCCUUUAAACCUUGUUCACCUUUCCUUGAUAAUUCGCAUUGCAUCUCCCACCUCACAUCACAACACUGGGGAAAAUCGGGAGGGGGUGGGGUCAGCAGUUGGAAGAAAGUUGGGGUUUUUAUAAAGGAAAGUGUGGUUGACAAAUUGUUACCAUGAUGUCGCAUGUUAACUGCAGUACCACCUGUGUCAGAAGUCACACAACAUCAGGUUGGUGUGUAUUUUUGUUUUAAACGCCCACCAACAUUACCAGUUCCUUAACCUGCACAUGUUUAUCUGCUGAUAUGUGACCUGUCACCCUUCACCUGUGACCCAGUUGAGAAGCAGGCUGUUACAUCAUACUCGACUCAGGAGAUUAAAGAGCCUUGAAUCAAACAUUAAUUAACUGCUGGAUGGAUAUUAGAGCUAAACUUGGUGUAAUUAUACUGGCCUCGGUUCAGGUACAGACAAAUCCUGCUGUGGUGAGGCUCCCCUCUCUGUUAUAUUCAAAACAAUUUUCAAUUGUUGUUCAAGUAAAUCAAAAGGUUUUAUUAGUGAAAGAAGACUAAGUCAAAUCUAAUGAAAGGCUCCAACUAUUUUAAUUAGUCAGAGCCUGGGCUGGCACAGCAGGAAGCAUUAGCUCUGAGCUGCUUCCUUGUCAGUGAAGCCUGCCAGGCACAAUUAAUUCUACACGCAAUAGCGCUCAACUCACGCUCCCUCAUGCUCACUCUUUCUCCAUCGUUCUUUGUCCCAGUGUUAGUUCUCCUCUUGCCCCUCUCCACUCCUUCCCCUUUCCCUAGUUUUCAACUCUCUCAUCACGUCUCACUCAAUCUCACACCCUCUGUCCAUUCCUUGCUAGCCUGGCCUGUGUUCUGCUCCCGCCCCAUAAAUUUCUUUCUCCUGCAUUUGUUACUUAUGCGUUUCUCUCUCUCUUUUCUUCCCUUCCCUUCUCCCCUGCAUUCUCCCUCAUUCUGAGCACUUGCUGACUUUACCACCGGUUUGUCUUGGUCUUCCUUCUUCAUUUUUAAUUCGUCUCUCUCCAUCGACCUUUCUCCCUCUUCCUUGUUUAAGAAACUGGUAUCCCUGGACAACUGCUGUUGAAUUCAAACAUGUGAAUUAGGAAAAGGAGUAGGCCACUCAGCUCCCCAAUGCUGCCCCACUUUCCAAUGAGAUGGUGGAUGGUUACUCCCCAUCCCCACUUUUACCCCCAGUAACCUUUGUUCAACAUUAAUCUAAUUCCUCUGCCUUGAAGAUAUUCAAAGACUCAGUUUCCAAUCCCUUUGCAGAAAGAGGGUUUCAAAGAACUAGGGAAGGACAAAAAAAAAUUCUCCUCGUCUCUAUCUUAAUUGGACAAGACCCUAUUUAUUUACCAGCAACCCUCCAUCAGCCACAAGCUUACUCAGUGCUACCUUUCCAGGCCCACCCUGUCAAGACUGCUAAGCAUCUUGUGUGUUUCAAUCAGUUUGCCUUAGGCUGUGCCAAACAGCAAUGGGUACAGGCCCAGCCUGUCUUAUCUUUCCUCAGAAGAUAACUCACCUAUUCAUUGAAUCCCUACAGUGUGGAAGCAGGCUAUUCAGCCCAACGAAUCCACACCGACCCUCAAAAGAGUAUCACACCCAGACGACCCACCACCCCCCCCCCCCCCAUACUAUCUCUGUUAUACUACAUUUCCCCAUGGCAAAUCCACCCAGCCUGCACAUCCCUGAACACUAUUGCAAUUUAGCCCUGCCAGUCCCCUCCAGUACAUCUAACCUGGAACUGUGUUGGUUGUUAAAAGAUAAAGAAAGCCUUGGCAACAUUUUUUUGAAUUACCUUUCACCGUGAGCAAAGUGAUUUAUUGAGAUUGACUGUUGGACCUGGAGUACUGGGGUGGCUGCUGACUGUUGCACAACUCGCUGCUCGCACUUGGUGUUAUGUCGAAGGAAUUUAAAUAGUAAAAUUUGUGCUAGGGUCCACCUUAGCAAAGAUCUCAUUGACUGAUGUGGUGGCCUAAAGAAAUGAGUGAUUUUUUUUUUGGAAGUUUGUUCAUGAAAUGUGGGUGUUGCUGGCUGGGUCAGCACUUAUUGCCCAUCCUUCAUUGACCUUGAAUUGAAUGGCUUACUGGAUACAAUUUUCAGAGGGCAGUGAAGAGUCAACCACGUUGCCAUUCUAAACAAUGUCCGUCCUACAGAAUAGACCAAAAGCCUUGAGGUUAUUUUCUGAUUGUUUUCCCCCUUGGUUUUACAUUGAGGAAUAUGCAGUGUGUUCCUUUCCUUUUGGAAGAAAGGAGGUAGCUCAGAGAUAACAGGCUGCAAGGGAAAGCAGGCAAUCCCAUGAUGCAGUGAGCUGAAGACUGGGUUGCCAAGGCAAUGCCAAGAUACUGCUCCUUUGGAUUCGCUGCAUUUCAUGGCACCAGUGUGAAAUGGAGGUCACCCCAUUGAAAAAUGUUUACAAAUUUGUAAAAGAUUUACUGUUUUACACUAUUGCUUGAAUAUGCGGAUUGUCCAAGGUGUCACAACACCUAUUAAAUCAUUAAGUAAAAUAUUGAGUGUUGGUAAGACUCGUGUCCAGGCAUGAAGCAUUCUGUUUGGUCUGCCCUUCAACAUGAAUUUGAACUUAUAUUAUGAAUUUAACAAAGCGUAUGUAAAGGGAUGUAUUUAAUUGAUCUGCCUGGGACAAGUCAAAGGCUGGCUGUGUUCAAAAAGAAGAUUUAAAUAUUCUCAGUCCCUUUGGAUGGGAAAGUACUAUCACAUGACAAUGGUUCUUCCCCCUAGGCUAUUGGCCCUCAGGCUUGAGACUCAUCAUCAUUGCCCGCUUUCCCAACCCAAAUUGGAAAGCCAAUUUUUAUAACUAAGAGAAACACAAGCUUUUUUUUUUAAAUGAUCUCAAGAAUUUCUGUCAGACAGGCAAGUAAUGAUGUAUUGGAGAUUAGCCCGUAUUUCAUGGAAACUCAAGGAUUCUGGUAGAAUGGGUAGGCACAGCAGAUUUCCUUCCUCAAGAACUGGCUGAGAUUUUUUUCCUGACAAUCCAGUGGUUCCAUGAUUGUCAUUACCAGUUUUUCAAUUCCCGAUUUUGUUUAAUUUAUUGAUUUCAAGCUCCCCAGCUGCCUUGGCAGGAUUUGAACUUUUGCCCACCAGAACAGUUGUCAGGCCUCUGCAUUACUGGUUUAGCGAGAUAACCGUAAAAUCAAGUGAGUGUGACAUUCCAUGAAUUGCUCUUGUAGAGACCCGGUGUGGACAUGACAGUCUGGAUGGGCUUCCUGUGCUGUAAUCAUUCUAACCUCAUGCUUUUGUACCCACACCAGGCAUAGUUUUUAAAAUUACAAGAAUGAGGAAGACUGAAUGGGGAUAAAGAGUUCCACAGUGUUGAAGUUCUAUAGUAGAAUGAGUAAGACUGUGCAAUAAGGUUUGUUGGCAAUGCAUUGAGGAUUUAGACGGGAAAAGCAAUGUGCGUGGAUAUAGCAACAACGGAACAGAUAUUGUGCCUCAACAGAUGUUGAUGGACAUACACACGUGUGCUCAUAUGUGCAGAUACGGGAUUAUCCUUUAAGUGAAUCGUUUUAUGGUUUCACCUUAAAAAUCGUCCCAGCAAUAGAAGAUAACAAGUGGUCCCAUGGAGCCUUCUUCGACGCUGAGUCAAGAGCUGCAACAUUUGCUCAGGAGAAGUGGGAAGCUAUACACACACUCGUACUUUUACCAUCACACCAUGUUUUGUGGUGCAGCCUUUUUACAAAAAAAAUGUUUCCUGCAAUCUUUGAACGCUGAGCCAGCUAACAUAGAAAGACUGCCUCAAGAAUGGACAACUGAUACGGAACUGCACAAGAUAACUCAUUGCAGACUGCCUACAUCAACCUUGUGAAAGGCGUGAGGGAGCUCCCUUACAUUUCUGUAAUUUAUUCUGUAUAAUUUAUUUUGUGUAUUACUGGUCUUGUCUAGUUUUUCUAGUGUGCAAUGUCUUUGUGUUUCAUUGGAUUGGCUGGGCCAGCUCAGAUGGAACAGGCCAAUUUGAACACUUGCUGAAACUGGCACCUUAGGAGAAGGAGUGGUGCCCAGGGUUGGGAUGGGGGAAGAACUAGUCACUAUCAUAAUGCAAGCGUGACAAUUAUAGGCUGAACAAGCAAUGCCUCCUCUCUCAUGUCAUGGUCAUAACUGCUUGCUGUGAUGGGGAGCUUCCUUUGUCGGGUGCUGUGAUGCUACCAUCUAAGACUUCCAGUCCCUUCUACACUCUACUUCCUGUUCGUUAUGGAGAUCUGAAUGAUGAACCUUUUUGAGGAAGGACAUUGAGAUUCCUUGCCCUAUGAAUGUAUGGAAAAUUACUGUCUUCAAAGAAGAAGCAUCAGAUCACAUGCAGUCUACUUUUGGGAGAUAGGGUUUUACUACUGGGUUUCUGAAAGUCAAUAUUGUCGAUUGUAGCAGACCCUCCACUUGCCUGGUCCUUUGGGAGUUAUGUUACUCAAUGUCAUGACAGAAGAGUACAGUAGGAUCUCAACAACUCACUUUCAUCCGGACUCUGUUUGGAUUGGUUAAGGAAGAAGGAAGGUGAGAGGCAAGGUUUGUUCAUCAGUCUCCAAACAGCAGAAACCAAACCAAAGUCAUGUCUCUCCUGGAGAAGCCUCCCUGCUCCACGGGUAUUGGCAAACUCUUAAUUUCUUGCAUGAAGGGAGUGCAAAUCAAACAAAGCGCCCCAUGACCUCCUCCAGAGCUAUGAAGAUAUGAGUAUCACUGUCAAGUCUCAAAGCCAGCAUGGUUUUAGGGUUAACUUUAAGUGAGCAGUAGGCUAUUUCAGUUUCACUGUGAGAUGCCUGCAGCUUUAGGAGUUCCUGGUUUGUCACGUUUUAUUUUGUUGUUGUACGUCUUGGCAAAUCUCCUCUUCCAUGUCAGAGUUUCUUGAUCAAACUACUUGCACAUCGACUGCUUAAAGGCUGUUGGUCAGUGGCUAGCCUGAGGUUAGCUCAUACAGACUGGGUUGUCUCUGAAAGACAGUCCCCAGGCCCACUCACGUUGUCUGUAAGUCCUCAGCACGGAAGUGCACCUUAUUCAGACCUCUCUCAGGUGAAUUGUAAUCGGUUGUGUUGUUUGGGAGGGAAGGGGAGGGGAGCGGUGGGAGGUGGGGUGGGGAGGUGGGGAGUGGCUGGGGAGGGUAAACCAUUGCUGCAUCUACUUGACAGUGUUUCGAUUGUGACUGAUAAUGUACAUAGGCUUAAAAACAAACAUUGCAUCUAAAACACAUACCAAUCAAGAUGAGUUUAAAGGUCACAUACAAAGAAAAUAUCGCCCGUGCCUUCUCAGGCCAGGUUCGGAGUUUCAUCAGACCAAAACUGGUUCUUCAUUAGAAUGGACAUUCCUCAUUGGUAAACUUUAAGGGAGAUUAUGAACUGGGGGCAAUUCAUUUUGAAGAGCUGGAUAGUAGUCAGCUAUAAAUUAUCCCAGUCUAUCUUAGAGGAAGAUGAGACCACACUUUUUCUGCUCUGCAUAGUUUAACUCUGUGUUAGGCAAGACAUCUGCCCGUCAUUGUGUGGAUCUCCAAACUGGCAGUUGUAGAAGAACAGUUGGCUGUAGGAUGUUUCUGAAGGGUCAACCUGUAGUCCACAGCAAUGACCAACAUACAAUGUGCAAAAAGCAGGAUCUUCCACAGCCAGUCCCUUCUGCAACGUGCGGGGAUCUUUUGUAUGUGAUCUUUGAGCGACAAAGGUGCUGACUCUUCCAUCACAAUGUUUCUCUUGAAGGUUUUGAUGAGACACAGCUCUCUCCUUAACAUAUGAGGAAGCCUCUGACUGUAACGUUAGGUUGGGGAACAGAGAUAGAGGGACAGGAAAAUGAAAACACGCACUGGAAUGUCAUUUUUGUGUUGUAUAGUUUUUGUUCUGUCUUUUUGCUGAAAUUGUUUUUCAUUAACCUCCUUGCCCUUUUGAAAGAAAUGUAAUUGUAAAGCAGGAUUUAAUGCUUUGCGGGUUUCAAGCUUGUCUGCUUCUGUGACCAAUGAAUUCCGUGAACCUUGAAGGUACAUAUGUUCUCGAGAGUUAAACACUCUCUCCUGUCCUGUACCAACACCCGACUCCCACAAUGAACAACAUAGACUUAUCCACCUCGAGUUGAAAGCUGGACCUGUAUGUUAUGAAUGAUUGUGGUUCUCUCCAGACUUGAGAGGUCAGUUCCACAAGUGCUUGCUUCACACAAUCUGCAGAUAUGAACUUAAAAAUUGAUGCUUAAAACGGCUUUGUUCCUCACAGGACCAAAGGUAUUCCUGUGAAUGAUGAAUUUUGAGUUGGGUGAUUCUCAUAUGCAGCUGAUUGGAAGCUCCCCUUUAAGAUUCUUUAGGAGCGCAGGAAGACAAGAUAGCAGCCGUGAAAGAGUUCUGGCUGGUCCAUACAAAACAUUACCAAGGAAUCAUAGGAAGCAAGAGUAGGCCAUUCAGCCCCUUCAGCCUGCUCCACCUUUGAACCAAAUCAUGGCUGAUCUUCUACCUCAAUGUAAUGUUUCUGCACGGUCCUUUACUAUCCAGAAAUCCAUUCAUCUCGGCCCUGAACUAGUCGUCCCGUACUAUUUGUCCAAUUUGUUUUUCUGUUCCCUUUAUUUUCAUGAGUUGUUGAAGAGAAAGUUGAUGAAACAGGAAUACAAAAUGUUUGUGUGGACUUUUCAAAAAUGGCUUUUCGUAAGCAAAAAUAAUAAAGCAGCGAAGAGUGAAAGUAAUCAAUUCCCCAUAUUAGCAAAGUUGGGGGGUGGGGGGAGAAGGUUUCCUUAUAAUUUAGGUCUUCUAUUACCCAAGUCUUCUUACCAGCAUUCAACCCUGGCGUAUGGCCUGCCAGCCUAUACAGGCCCCUUAUUUGUGUGCUAUAGCCAGGAUACAUGUGCUUCUGAGGUCCAUGUGGUCACAUGGGUACUACACAACCAACCUAGCAUCCUGGAAGGAAAAGCACUGCUAUCUGACUGUACAAAUAUAUCUCAGGGUCCUGGUGUGAAUCUCUGAGAUAGAUUCUUAUAUUAUCGUGUUGUUCACCUGAGUAAUCAUGGGUGUAAUACGAGCUCGGGCCACUAUUGUGAAACAUGGGGCGGGGGGGGGGGGUUGGCGUGGAGCUGGUGGAGGUAUGCCGUUCAGUUUUACAAUGUAGAAUUCAAAGGAUCCUUAGAAGCUCAGCUACAAUCAUGAACGGAAGGAGAUUCACUGUACAAUCCAAAUUCACCUCAUGCUAUAGUUUCAGAUACAACUGCAAGAUCUUGAUUACAGGUACUGUAAAACCACUUUCCUGGCAAACACUCAUCCUUCAACCAACAACAACCACUGAGAAUUACAUAGUGCCCAUUAUAUAGGCAAAGAUCUCAAGGUGCUUCCCAAGUGUGCUAUUGGACAAAAUAUAACACCUUCACUAACGUGUUCAUUGUUGGUGAAACUUUGUUGCAUAUGAAUGACUGUUUUGCAGCACUGAGUACAUGUUCAAAAGUACUUCAUUAGCCACAACACACUUGUGGUAAUUCUAAACACGUUUAUUUUAUAAUGAGGACAUUAAUCCGUUAACCCCAUUACGUCCUCUGUUUACACCGAAUACACAGUCCUGUGAAUCCACUGUAACAAUAAGAUUUUAACAAUGUCGCCAUAGGAAGCACCCUCUGAAAUAGUAGAACUCUUUCAUGGAAUUCACCUCAUUAUGAGCCCGGAAAGAAUGUUAUAAAUACUCCCUGAAGAACCUCAGGUGAUCAGGAACAAGGCUACAAUAUUCACUCACCCCUUGCGUUCCGCCAUUCAGCCCGGGAAUAAUUUGCAUCAGCUCCCUCGCUCUUGAUCACUAAUUGGGUGAUAUGGUGCUGGGGGAAGCUAGGAUUUUAGUCCAGUCAAGAAUUAACCAUUAAAAUAGUCUUCAUAACCAUGUGAAGCAGAUUCCUUAACCUCUACGCCUCUUGCGUUUAAUAUUGACUACAAUAUUUCUCUUGGUUCCGCAGCUUCAAUCCAAAUCAUGCUGGGGGCUGGAUUGCCAGCUUUGAUUGGAUUUAUGUGAAGAGGUUUCAGUACGUGAAGUCAAACCUUCAACAAGCCUUGCCCCAUCGUCCUGCCUCUUUGUGCUGUGUCACUUUCUGGAAUUAAACGAUUAUCUGAUUGGAUCACUCUUAAAUUUGAUUUAUUGCUGUCAUGUAUACUGAGGUACAGUGAAAAGUGUUGCCUUACGUGCUUUGUAGGCAGAUCGGACUGUACAACUACGUCAGGGUAAUAGAAAAGAGUGCAGGCUACAAUGUUAGAGCUGGGGAGAAGGUGCAGGCAUCGAUCAACAUUAGUAUUAAAGAGUCCAUUCAAAAGUCUGAUAACAGCAUCUGUUUAAAAGUCUGAGAAAUACUAUUCAAACAGCGUUCCCUCCCUUCCCCAAGAGUUUUCGAUGUGAUAAACAAAACUAAGAUAGGCAUCAUUACCGGCGGUCCCUCGCAGACAAGGAUGACUCUCUUCCACUCUCAGGGUGAGUCUGUAGGUGAUAGGCAAAUGACAUGAUUGCUUACAGCUCCCACCCACCUCCUUGUAAUUGUAGAUGAGAAAGAACUUCUCAUCUCUUGUAUCAGAGAGUCUUGACGGCUUUCAAUAUUAAGGUCAUUGAGCUUAGGAACACUGAAACAAGAGUAGGUCAUUCGGGCCCUGGAGUAUGUUCUGCCAUUUACUGAGCUUGUGGGUGAUCUGUAUAAAAAAAUCCCAUAUUUUCCCCUUGAUGCUGGAUCCCUUAUUACCCUUGCCUGACAAAAAUCUAUUCGUCUUGAAAUAGUCUUGACCUCCGUCCUUGGCUCCUCAAGUGGAAAUGCUAACUUUCCUUUAACUGAAGUUAACAAGUUGUUGAGGUUUGGAACAGAAGCAGAUAAAUGAAGUUAUGAACCUUCAAAGACUGAUCUUGCUGUCUAAUCUAUUCAGGGCAGAGAAUGGAUGUAAUUGGAUAAUGAUGUGGCUACAUGCCAGGCCGAUGUCUCCACACACUGGGAAACUUAUGCUAAUGGCCCAUGUCAUGGCAUGACCCUAUCUGACCUAGUCAGCUAUAAGUGGCCAGCAGGUUAUGUGUAUGCAUAACCCUAGAUUCCCAGUUAACAAUCCAUUCUUUGCAACAACUGUUUGAAAGUUGUCCUCUUAUUUUCUGUACAGGUAUUUUUUUUUCCCCGAAAAGUAAACUGGAGGUCUUGAAAACUGCACAAUCCCAGACAAGAGAAGAGACCCAGUGAUAAUGUAGCACGGUUUAGAACAAACACCUUGGGAUUUGUGUGUGUUAUUGAGACUUGGGGAAGUGCACUCAAUAACUGUAAAUAGCUGAAAAUGGGAGCUGAUUUUCUACUUGUGCAAUAUGGCUGUAUAUUAAAGCUUGGCUCCUUCUCUCCUCCGUUAUACUCUUAUGGGUUCAGUUUUACGUUUGUAAAGUAUUUGUAAACUUUUGUUUCUAAUAAAACCUGUUACAGUA